CUGCCUGUAGAAAAUGUUGGAACAUUCCAUGUCACAUGGUACACAGAAAGUUGCAUCAUUCAGAUCCUGUAAAUGCCAUAGAAAGGCAUUUUUUUUUCUAGUAUUUUAACUCUUGACUGGGGAUGAGGGGUUAAAAUCUCAGCACAGUCCUGUCACCUUAAUUAUUGUUAUAAUUAAAACAUUUAAUUUGUGUUAAAUUACUGUAACAUUGGCGUCAAUAACAUAUGUCUAUACAUUUGUUUCUUCUUCUCAUUAUAUAAUAAUAUAGAAGGAGACGGUACCCUAAUGAGAACCACUGGGGGCAUUCACUCCCUAAUGGGAUCUUUGAUUGUGCAUGGAGAAAAUGCUCUGCAAUGAAUGCAAUAUUGCUAAACUAUAUGUUAAUGUAACUGCUACAAUGCUAGUCGAAGCUGUUAAGGGCAUUUUGUCUGCUAUAUAAUAGAGAAUCUGUGCACUGUGUAGGAGGAGUGUGUUACAGAGGGAGACCAACCUUUCUCAGAUUGUGUGCAAAUCGCACUUGGAACAUGUUGCCAUUUUGUGGGUUCAUACAGUACACCUCUUAUGGUGUAACCGGUAAUUACAUUUCCUUCUUCACUUUUGACAAAGUGACAGAGUGAAAGCUGAAGGUACAGGGUGAAGUUAUAAAAUGUCAAGUAAACACUUGUACCACUUAUUUUGUUGAGAGACACCAGUACGCUGGGGGCGAGCAGACUGGGUGGUCUCCAGUCAAUCCCUGGUAAUGUCAGUUACAGAGAGAAACAAGCAUUCAUAUUCACGUCUAUGGAGUCUCUUAAUUAACAUAACAUGCUCAGUAGGGGUGCUCAAAAAAUAUUAAUUCACAUCCAAAUCGCUAUUCUUAUUUGUUCCAAUUUUAAAUCAAUUCAUAUUUUCAAGAAACAAUCUAAUAUACACUAUAUUACCAAAAGUAUUUGGCCACUGUAGUAGAAUUUCUGACCUUUGACCUAUAUUUCUUGUCUUUUAAGAAUGUCCGCUCAUUUUCAAUUCUCUUCUAUUUUGUGCCAUUGAAUGGACCAGUUGUGGGACAAAGGUGAAUAUGGAGUUAUGCCAACCUGUCUACAGAAUGUUUAGAUUUUCCAAAUAUGACUAGGAGAUACAAGGUUGUUUUGGAACAGACAAAACAAUCGUGGCGCAUUAGAUAACAAACAAUGACGCACAAGAGACAUAUAAAAAAUGGCAGAAGACCGGAACUCGAGAGUGAUUUUGGCUUGUGUGUGUCUUGUUUACUCCGGAGUAAUAUGUGGUCUGUCUGCACGGCCAACUUAAUUCAACCUGCACUUCUGAUAAUGGGUAAAUAAAUUUGUUGUACUAAACUACUUUUGUUGCCUGUUUAAGCUUCGGACAAUCCACUACACCACCUUCCUUGACUCACAUAUGAACUUGAAGUACCAUCCCAUUCCUAACCCAUUGGGUUCAAUAUGAUGUCGGUCCACCUUUUGCAGCUAUUACAGCUUCAACUCUUCUGGAAAGGCUGUCCACAAGGUUGCGUUUUAGUGUGUUUAUAGGAAUUUUCGACCCCUCUCUGUCAGUUUACGUGGCCUACCACUUCGUGCUGAGUUGCUGUUGUUCCCAAACUCUUCCAUUUUCUUAUAAUAAAGCCGUCAGUUGACAUUGGAAUAUUUAGGAGCGAGGACAUUUCACGACUGGAUUUGUUGCACAGGUGGCAUCCUAUGACAGUUCCACGCUGGAAAUCACUGAGAGCGGCCCAUUCUUUCACAAAUGUUUGUAGAAACAUUAUACAUGCCUAAGUGCUUGAUUUUAUACACCUGUGGCCGGGUCAACUGAUUAGGACACCUGAUUCUGAUCAUUUGGAUGGGUGGCCAAAUACUUUUGGCAAUAUAGUGUAUAUCAGUGGUGUGCCGUCAGGGCCAGCAAGGCCUUCUCUGCUGGCCUAAUAUAACCAGAAAUCAUGAUCAGCGAGCUAAGUUGUUAAGGCGACUCAAAUCGACUACAAGCGGCACCACUGGCUUAUAUGGCGUCGAAUGGGUUCUACAAAUUGGAGGUGGACUUGAGUGGCAGCUUGGCGAGCCCGGGUUGGAGAGAUCCAUCAUGCCAUGACAGGAGGGAGAGGGCUCUGACAUCUUGGCCUGCCCUGAGAGGCCAACGCCUGUCAGCUUAAUGAGCCUCCCAGUGACAGCAUCCCCUCCCGAGUCAGCAACCCAGGUGAGCAGAACAUGUCUAAACGGACACACACCAGUGAUUCGGGCGCCCACAAGCAGAUGCGCUCAGAAGUAAUUGGUUUUGACUGAGGACUCACCGCUGCAACAACAGGAGGACAGCGAGAGAAAAGAGAGAAGGAAGAGGGGAAUGCUUGGCUUCAGCUCAUUAACCAGCACCUGUUAGCUGGAAAAUAAA